rnacentral:lncRNA from 1 species
GUAUAAGAUGGCAGCAACAAAUGUGGUUCACGGCUGACUGGUUGGCCUUGGCAGUGACUGAGAAAGUCAAUAUUUAAAAAGCAAUUUUUUUCCCCUCUGGCAAGAAGUGAUGUCAGUGUUGGAAGGAGGGAGGCAUGACAGGCUGGAUGGAACCUGCUUUUGUGAUAUGUGAGAUGUUCUCGAUGUGAAAUCGCUUGAUGAUUUUGUGAUUAAACCCCACGACUGCCUGUUUCUGAUUUUGCUCUGGAGCUCACUGAUAGCUCUGGAACUUGGGAUUUCUGAACACAUGGCCUUCAUCAUUGGGAAAGACUCAGUCUUACUAUGGAAUAUCUUGUGCUGCUUUACAGGACUCCUUACCAACCAGGUACUUCUGAUAAUUGACUGGCAAACCUGGUUUAUUCCAAAUAUUAGCUCAAUGUUCUCUCUCCCAGCUGCUUGGUGGCUGGCCCUUGACUAUGCACUGUUGAUUAUGGCAUUUGAAUGGACUGUCUUUACCCAAUCAUCUCCUUAGUAAAACCGAAAAGGGUUUCCAAUGGGGCAAGAAUAUAAUGUUGCAUUGCCCAAAAAUUCAGGGAAGGUGUGGUGGUGUGUGGGGCACUUUGACACCUGAAGAACUGCAACAAGAUUCUAGUCAUCUGGAAGAAAUGGAGCUUCCCAUUUGGAAGUGGUGAAAUGAAGACCUGAGGUCAAGGGCACUUAGGCAUGUUUUGGUCACUUCACAAUCUUCUGCUAUUUAUUUUGUUAAUUGACCCAAAGUUUGAUCCAAUGAUAUUUUUAGGAGCCAUAUGCUGGAUCAAAUCAAAUCUGUCAUCUUGUUCUAUCAGUUUCUAAUGAGUCACUAUUUCUGGUGCAGGGCUGGCAAAAAGCUGUCGUCUUGCCAUUCUUCUUUCCAGGUGUCAGGGCAGGCAUUGCCAAUUUGUUACAGUUCCUAGCUUUCCAAGGCCAGACUCAAUACCAGAGUCUAAACUUUGUGCUUCAGUAGUUAUUACCAAUUCAUCAGAGUUGGCAUACAAUUUGGGACCUAUUUGUCAAGCCUGGGUUAAUGGGAGAACAGUGACUCUUCUUUGUUGUAGCUGUCUAUGUGAACUUAGGCAGGCAUUAGUCUCUCUGAGCCUCGACCAUCAUCUACUAAGAGGUAUUACCUAACCCACAAGCUAGACCAAAUUCAUAUGCAUAUAAAAUGAGAUUUAUAUAAUAAAAAUAAGCCUCCUUUUCAAUCUAAGGAGAUAUUAUUUUUACUGAAAUGGACUAAUGUUUAGUAAAACCAUAGUUCAUUAAUCCAGCCACCCACAGUAGAUUCAUUGUUGCUUUCGUUCUUUGUUUCACUCCCCUGUGUCAAACCAGUUUUCGAGUCUUGUUGAUUUUGCCUUUAAGUAGCUCUUGAAUCUGCCUUUCUCGUCAGGCACACUGGGGUGGAGUCCAUGCCCUCCAUAUGAGCCUUUUAGAUAAUGAUCUCUCUGCCAUGCAUGCCCCCAGUUUCUGGUCUGUUCUCUACUACUCUAUGGCCAGGGUGGCCUCUUUAGAUGGACCACAUGCCUCCGCUGUUUACACCCCCGUGGGUCUCCCACACUCUCCGUGAUAAAGACUAGAAGUUCCCUGGCUGACACCUGUGGCCCUUCAUUUUCCACCUCCACCUUCUCUGCACACCCUGUGCCUUGCUUGUUACUCUCCCACCCACCCCCCCAGAGGCUCUGUUAUGGCACUGCAUCUUUUUCCAUGCCGAGUACCCUGCAGAUGCAAUGCACUGUCCUUGUCCGCUGGCAAACUCAGAUUCCCCCCUGGAGGCCCAGUUCAGUAUUGACUGGGCCUCUGAGAGAUUGUGGUAAAGGGAAACAUUUCUGCACAUAGCUGGGAUGGAUUGCCCACCCACGACCCCAAGUCUUGUAGUGGCAUUCUCUGCAACUAGGGAGUGAACCACAGGGGACACAAAGACUCCAAGCUGGAGGCAGACGGCAGCCCUGGCAGAUUGCAGCCUCUAGUUCCACGCUCACAGGCAGGUAGCGUGGUUUCCCCAAGUUAAGACGCCCAAGUCUCAGAAGAGCCAUAGAGCCUGAGAAUCAGGAGCAAGCUGACCACAUGGGAGGGGGCUAAUCGGGUAGAUGUAAAAUUUUGGCAAAAUCCUUGUCUGCCUUAUUUAGCUAGAAACAUCCUCCUUGUGUACACCUGAGAGUGUGGGAGAAAGAACUUCUGCCCGCAUGGCUGCCCAGUCCCCUCAGCAGAUGCUGGGCACUUCCUCCUUUUUCUCCUUCCUCCUUCUCUCUCCUUUUUCCUCUGUUUCUUCAUCCUUCUCCCCUUUCCCUAUAAUCAGUAAUAAUUCCUCAUUUACAAAGCCCUUUCACAUAUGUUACAUCAUUUCAUCUUCCUGACAAGCCCAUGAGGUGUGUUACUACUGUAUCCCAGUUUUAGAGAUGAGUACAUUGAGGUCCAGAGAAGUUAGGUUAUUUAAUUCAAAGUCAUGUAGUUGGUAGUUUAUGGAAUUGAGAUUUCAAUGAAGGGUCUUCACCUCUAAAUCUCAGGGUUUUUUGUUUUUUGUUUUUUUUUUUAAAGUUUUGUGACAUUGAAACUGAAUUUGGAACAAUGUUUACAUUUGUAGUAUCUUCUUUGUUACUAAAAGAUUGUGUUUUAUAAACCCUCUUAGAGCAUCUGCUGCUCUAGAGCAGGGGUCCCCAACCCCCAGGCUACAGACCAGUACUAGUCCAUGGCCUGUUAGGAACUGGGCUGCACAGCAGGAGGUGAGUGAGCAUGACCACCUUAGCUCCGCCUCCUGUCAGAUCAGUGGAAGCAUCAGAUUCUCACAGGAGCGUGAACCCUAUCAUGAACUGCGCAUGUGAAGGAUCUAGGUUGUGUGUUCCUUAUGAGAAUCUAGUGCCUGAUGAUCUAUCAUUGUCUCCCAUCAACCCCUGAUGGGACCAUCUAGUUGAGGAAAACAAGCUCAGGGCUCCCACUGAUUCUACAUUAUGGCGAGUUUUAUAAUUAUUUCAUUAUAUAUUACAAUGUAAUAACAGAAAUAAAGUGCAUAAAGUGCACAAUAAAUGUAAUGUGCUUGAAUCAUCCCGAAACCAUCCCCAAGCCCCCAGGUCCAUGGGAAAAUUGUCUUCCAUGAAACCAGUCCCCAGUGCCAAAAAGGUUGGGACCGCUGCUCUAGAGAAAGCCAUUCUAUGUGCCUGUUACACUAUCCUGCAUCUUAACUUACCAUAUCAUUAUACUUCCCCACUUGCCUUAUAAGUCUCUCUUUGUAUUGGUCACCCAAGAAGGACUUUGAGUAACCUCAGGGCAGGGUUUGUUAAUAUCAUCAGGUCCAAGCCCACAGGCCUGGCACGGAAUAACCAUCUAAUCAAAGUUUGUUCAGUGAGUGAAUGAUUAAUAAUAAAAACUACCAUUUGUGAAUGCUUGCUAUUAUUCUUUCUACACAUUAACUCAUCUCAUUUCAG